rnacentral:ncRNA from 1 species
GGGUCGCCGCGUGCUGGCCGGGGGACAGACCGGGAAUCGCCCCUUUGGGGACUUUCCCCGAGCAUGAAAAAGUCGACCAAAAUUGGUACGUGCAAGGAGAAUCCGACUUUUAAUUAAAACAAAUCAUUGGGAUGGUCCUUGCGGAUGCUGACGCAAUGUGAUUUCUGCCUAGUGCUCUAAAUGUAAAAGUGAAGAAAUUCAACCAAGCGCGGG